rnacentral:tRNA from 1 species
UCAGUGGUGGUUCAGUGAUAGAAUUCUCACCUUGCGUGUGAGAGACCCAGGUUUGAUUCCCGGCCGGUGCA